UUACCGGCUUAAAUGGACAGAAAUUUUCGCCAAGGUGCUGCAUGGUUGUCGUCAGCUCGUGCCGUGAGGUGUCGGGUUAAGUCCCAUAACGAGCGCAACCCUAUCUUAGUUGCCAGCGUACGGGACUCUAAGAGACUGCCCGCGCAACGUGAGGAAGGUGGGGAUGACGUCAAAUCAUCACGGCCCUUACGCCGGGCCACACGUGCUACAAUGGGAUACAAGGGGCAUGGCGACAGGAGCAAUCUCUAAUCAUCUCAGUUCGGAUUGUAGUCUGCAACUCGACUACAUGAAGCCGGAAUUGCUAGUAAUCGCGAUCAGCAUGCGCGGUGAAUACGUUCCCGGGNCCUGUACACACCGCCCGUCAAACAAUGGAAGCUGGGCNCCGAA
rnacentral:rRNA from 1 species